UGUAUAUUCGCAUAAGUGAGUUUAAUAUUUGGUUUGAUUUUCAUUGUAAAACUUAUGCAAUGUGUUUAUUGUGAUUUUCAAAUUUUUUUCUCUAAGUUUACUGUUGAUGUUUUGCAAUAGUAGUACAGUUUUCUAUUUUAGCUGAUAAGAGUAUUUUAAGUUUGAUAUUUGCAUGGAAGUUAUGUUCAUCUUUUUUUAUGUUAUUUGCUGUUUUGAUUUUGUUUCUGUUUGAUUUUUGUAUUUGUUCAUUAUUUGUUUUCCUUUUUCCUGGUUACAAUUCCUUAGAAUAGGUUAGUGUUAAGAGUAAGAUAGUGGAGGGUAGGUUGUUAUUUUGGGUAGAUUUCUUAGUUUAGGUAACUGGUAAGUAUUUUUAGAUUGUGCACAAAUUCAAAAAGUGUUUCAAACACUAUUUUUUGGUUCGUGCAAAAGGGGGGAAUAUGAUAAAGGAUGAAAAGGUUUGCAAUUUGCAAAACUGUUGCAAAAAACUGAGAAAUGCAAACUUAGGAAGGACUGACAGUGGCAUGUGAUCAAGGGUCACAUGGGAGCCUGAGCCCCAGGGAUCUAGGUGAAGAUUCCAUUCUGUCCAACUGAUUUCUUGUCUCCUGAAGAAGUUGAGAUGAAGGCUUGAAGAGGAUUUUCCCUGUGAUCAAACUGAGGAAGGAGUUUUCCUGUAUCUGGCUGCUGGCAGAUCAGUCUUGCUUGGACAUCAGGACAGCUAACAACAAAAGAUCCUGGCUCUAUUUGACUUUGGACUCCUGCUUAACAGGGGACAAGUGGGAAUUUGAUGGCUAGCCCACAAGAUUGUGAGUUCUAGGUAUAGGAAAUGACAUCUUAAACUCAUUAACACUGAGUAUAUUCAGCUAGAGCUACUUGAAAGGUUAUACUUCUGGAAAUUCUCUGGCUUUCCCAUCAUACCCCUGGAGCCCAUUAUAGAAAAAAAAAAGAUGUCAUCCUACAAGAUUCCAUCAGCCUUGGUAUUGCACCAUGUUCUGUCUCCCUAAUAUAUCAUUUCAAAAUUAUCAAAAUAUCAUUUCUCGUAUGGCUAUGCUAUUGUGGAACUUGUCUGUCUUUUCCUCUAUGCAUCCACAUCAGAUUCCUUCUCCAUAUCACCUUUCCUGCUUGUUUUAAGCUACAUUUUCUGUGUUAUUUUAUUCUCUUAGAUUGUAAGCUCCUUGAAAGAAGAACUAUUUUUAUUUUAUAUUUGUAUCCUCAGUGUUUAGGACAGUGCCUAUCCAAAUCAAGUGUUAAAUAAAGUUUUAUUCACUGACAGUUCAAUUUACCUAUUUUUCUAUUCUUUAUUAAUUCUUUCUGUUUAUUCACACAAUUGAGUACUACGAUAAUAGAAUUGUUGCUUAUCUUUCAUUUUCAGAGAGUACCAAUAACAUCAUGGGGUGGUGUCUUGACCUAUGGAUGAAUUAGAUUUAAGUAAGGACAAGUUGUACAACUUUGUGAGCCUCAUUUUCUCUUCCAGAGUCAAAGUUCAGUGGCAACACAAAAGUCAGAACAACUGAUGAUAGUCUGGGAUAGAGUGGAUGGCCUCAGCUUCUUUGAUAUCUGGCCAACCUCUAGACAUGCCAUAGCAUGCUCCUUAGCUGCCUUCAUCGCUAUUUGAACAUGUUGUUCUCAUCCACCAAUUCCAUAAGAAAAAGUCUUCACAUAACUAUGGUAAAUGUUUGUUUGUUUGUUUUUUUAACUUACCUGUGAGUUGGGACCUGUCAGGUUAGCCUGGUUUAGCCCAUCUGCUGAGAAGUUUUUACUGAAGAAUAACUGCUAUGCAUUCUACAGCUUCUUGGAGCCACAGCUGAGAUUUGGGUAAAAGGUGGACAUCAAAGGUGUAUGAGAAGCCCAGAAAAGAGCUUGUCAGGCCCUCACACCAGAGGUACUAGUCCUCCCCAAAUUACCCAUAUGCCCAGAUAUUAGAGUAUAAACCUGAUGGCAU
ensembl:lncRNA